GAAAUGCGAUAAGUAAUGUGAAUUGCAGAAUUCAGUGAAUCAUCGAAUCUUUGAACGCACAUUGCGCCCGCCAGUAUUCUGGCGGGCAUGCCUGUUCGAGCGUCAUUACAACCCUCAGGCCCCCGGGCCUGGCGUUGGGGAUCGGCGGAAGCCCCCUGCGGGCACAACGCCGUCCCCCAAAUACCGUGGCGGUCCCGCCGCAGCUUCCAUUGCGUAGUAGCUAACACCUCGCAACUGGAGAGCGGCGCGGCCACGCCGUAAAACACCCAACUUCUGAAUGUUGACCUCGAAUCAGGUAGGAAUACCCGCUGAACUUAAGC
rnacentral:misc_RNA from 1 species